GGAAUGUGGCUCAAGCGGUAGCGCGCUCGCCUGGCAUGCGUGGGGAGCUGGGUUCAAUCCUUAGCACCA
rnacentral:tRNA from 1 species